GCACCUACCGCGCAGGGGAGAAACUGCUGCCAGGCUGCCCCGGGUCGGGGGUGGUUUCCUGCACUCCGGCUGUGCCGACCCCUGCGGCAUCCCCAAAUGCAGUGAGCUCGGCUGCAUCAUUUAUGGUAGGGGAGAUUGUGUUCGCGUUCUCCCU
rnacentral:snRNA from 1 species